GAGGGCACAGCUCAGUGGUAGAGCUCUUGCUUAGCAUGCACAAGGACCUAGGUUCAAUCCCCAGUACCUCCG
rnacentral:tRNA from 1 species